rnacentral:rRNA from 1 species
UACGUAGGGGGCAAGCGUUGUACGGAUUUAUUGGGCGUAAAGAGCGUGUAGGCGGCCAGGUAGGUCUGCUGUGAAAACUCGAGGCUUAACCUCGAGCUGUCGGCGGAAACCAUCUGGCUAGAGUCCGGAAGAGGAGAAUGGAAUUCCCGGUGUAGCGGUGAAAUGCGCAGAUAUCAGGAAGAACACCAAUGGCGAAGGCAGCUCUCUGGGGACGGUACUGACGCUGAGACGCGAAAGCGUGGGGAGCGAACAGG